rnacentral:rRNA from 1 species
GACGAACGCUGGCGGCGUGCUUAACACAUGCAAGUCGAACGGAAAGGCCCUGCUUUUGUUGGUUGCUUGUUUGGCGCACGGGUGAGUAACACGUGAGUAACCUCCCCUUGACUUUGUGAUAACUUCACGAAACUGGGGCUAAUACCGGAUAUGAUCUCCUGCUGCAUGGUGGUGGUUGGAAAGUUUCGGCGGUUGUGGAUGUACUCGCGGCUUAUCAGCUUUUUUGUGGGGUAGUGGCUUACCAAGGCUUUGACGGGUAGCCGGCCUGAGAGGGUAACCGGGCACAUUAGGACUGAGGGACGGCGCAGAAGCCUACGGGAGGCAACAGGAGGGAGAAUGGCAGAAUGGGCGGAAGCCAGAUGCAGAAACGCCGCGUGCGGGAUGACGGCCUUAGAGGGGUAAACAGAUGUCGCAUGAGAAGAAGCGUGAGUGACGGUAAUGGGUAAAGAAGCAACGGCUAACUACGUG